rnacentral:rRNA from 1 species
UACAGAGGGGGCAAGCGUUGUUCGGAAUUACUGGGCGUAAAGGGCGCGUAGGCGGCCCGCUAAGUCGAACGUGAAAUCCCUGGGCUCAACCCAGGAACUGCGUCCGAUACUGGCAGGCUUGAAUCCGGGAGAGGGAUGCGGAAUUCCAGGUGUAGCGGUGAAAUGCGUAGAUAUCAGGAGGAACACCGGUGGCGAAGGCGGAUCUCUGGGCCUUACCUGACGCUGAGGCGCGAAAGCUAGGGGAGCAAACAGG